CGAAGCUGGUGGCGGACGAGCCGCUCGCGAACUCGGUCAGGUCCGGAAGGAAGCAGCCGCAACGGGUUUCGUUCGGGUCGUCGCCAGUUUCACCU
rfam:Hirschia baltica ATCC 49814, complete genome.